CCAAUAGCGUAUAUUAAAGUUGUUGCAGUUAAAAAGCUCGUAGUUGAAUUUCGGGGUCAGUAGGUUGGUCAUGCCACUGGUAUGUACUGGUCUCACUGAUUCCUCCUUCCUGAUGAGCCGUAAUGCCAUUAAUUUGGUGUUGCGAGGAAUCUGGACUGUUACUUUGAAAAAAUUAGAGUGUUUAAAGCAGGCUAACGCUU
rnacentral:rRNA from 1 species